rnacentral:rRNA from 1 species
GACAACCCAUCCCAUUUGGCGGCCUUCAACCUUAUUAAAGGAACUUGUUGAUUAACCGAAGAUACGCGAUAUUUUUAGCUUAAACCUAAUCUUUAUACCGCCGUCCAAAGGAUAAAAUUAAAUAUUUUACCCGCAUCAUACCUUUAGAGUAGAAAUGUCAGGUCAAGGUGAAGUUUAUGUUUAAGUCUCAAUGAGUUAUUAAUAAAAAUAAUUUAUGGACUUUUGUUAAAAAACAAAAAUCGAAUUAAGAUUUAAAAGUAUUUUCAAUUUAAUAUGUUAAAAAGAACUAGCAAAAAAGGUGUACAUAUCGCCCGUCGCCCUCGUCCAAAGAUGAGGUAAGUCGUAACACAGUUAAUAUACUGGAAAGUGUAUUAAGCGUACUUUCUCUAAGCUUUUAGUAUUUCACUUACACUGAAAAGAUGACAUUUACUUCACCUUGUUUACUCUUACAUAAAAUCUUUAAUAUAACUCUCAUCUAACGCAACACUUCAAAAACUGAAAAGGAUCACACAAACAAAAUUAAAGUAAAUUUAUGUACCUUUUGUAUCAGGGAUUUUCCAAUCAUUAUGCCUAUAUCAAUAUCCCGAAACAAGACGAACUUCAUGACUUUAGUAAAAGUUGUAACACAAACAAUAUAAAUUUCAUAAAGUUGAGAUAUUCUUGUCAAGCCUUUCUAUAUCUGGUUCACUCCCCACGUUAUUUUCCAAAACUGUCCAAAGAAUAAGCUUUGCACAUAAGUCUUCCAUCUCCUUCCCUUUACAAUUUAGAUUUAAUAGUACCCACACUGUUUUCAAACUCCUAUACUAUCUUUACCCAAACAAAAACUAAGUGAUUUACCUCGUCAACUUUACAAUGAAAAUAUUAGUAAAAUUCUCCUUCUUAUUCAAUUCUAAAAACUCAUUCUUUCAUAAAAUAACAUUGAAAUUAUGAACUAGGCCCUCAAUCAAUUGACUGUUUAUCAAAAACAUAGCUAAUAGAUGUCAAUUACUAGUAAUACCUGCUCAAUGAAAAAUAAAUAGCCGCAAA